UACGUAGGGGGCAAGCGUUGUCCGGAUUUAUUGGGCGUAAAGCGCACGUAGGCGGCUUUGCAAGUCGGUUGUGAAAUCCCCGGGCUCAACCUGGGAACUGCAUCCGAGACUGCAUUGCUAGAGUAUGGGAGAGGAAAGCGGAAUUUCUGGUGUAGCAGUGAAAUGCGUAGAUAUCAGAAGGAACAUCAGUGGCGAAGGCGGCUUUCUGGACCAAUACUGACGAUCAGGUGCGAAAGCGUGGGGAGCAAACAGG
rnacentral:rRNA from 1 species